GAAAUGCGAUACGUAGUGUGAAUUGCAGAAUUCAGUGAAUCAUCGAAUCUUUGAACGCACAUUACGCCCUUUGGAAUACCAAAGGGCAUGCCUGUUCGAGCGUCAUUUGUACCCUCAAGCUUUGCUUGGUGUUGAGCGUCUUUUGUCUCCAGUUCGCUGGAGACUCGCCUUAAAGUCAUUGGCAGCCGGCCUACUGGUUUCGGAGCGCAGCACAAGUCGCGCUCUUUGCCAGCCAGGGUCAGCGUCCAGCAGGCCUUUUUUUCAACCUUUGACCUCGGAUCAGGUAGGGAUACCCGCUGAACUUAA
rnacentral:misc_RNA from 1 species